AGAUGAGAGAGUCUGGAGCAGAGACAAUUUUAACUUAGCCAUUCCUAAUUUAUCUCAAGCAUAUUCAAUUCAUCUUUACUGCUCUAUGCACACAGGAACACCAGAUUGCCAUCCCUGGGGAACAGAAUGCAACCGGGGAUCUAGAGAGCUGUCACAUUCCAAGAAAUAUUUAAAUUGUGCUGAUUUUCUUCUGGAGAACUGAGCCCAGGGAAUGAAACUCUCCAUCAAGUCAUAGCUUUGCGGGCAAUAGAUCAGAGGAUAUUGCCAGUUUUCUAAUGGAUUAUUGUUAUCGGGCAGGUUUUCUCUGAAGUUUCUCAGCUGUUGUUACAUCUUUCUUGGAUGGGUAAGUACUAUAAAUGCUAUAUAUACCAUUCUGAAACUGUGAGUUAAGUUUUACAUGUUGAGAUUUUAUUUAUUUUAGGCACUUAGUCUACUAACGUGUAACAACUUGGAUUUAAUCCUAUGGAAGAUAAAAAAUGGGACUCAGUUAUUCAAGAAAAAGUGAAAUGAAAAUGGUGAAUUUGGAGAUGUUUUGCAAUGGAGCAUUUUUAAUAAUUUUAACUCAGAGUGGGUUAACUUGUAACUCACGUUACAGUUUUAGAGGCAGGCCUAAUGGAAAAUGUACUUUUAAGACAGCUGUAGUCUCUCAUGAUUAUUCAAAUGGUUUGACUCAGGAGUAUUUUUGCUAUAACAUUUUGAAAUUUACACUUUUUAACUCUACUUUUACAUUUUCAAAUGAAUUUCAAAUCAUCACUAAUUAAGCUAAAACCACCAAUUCAAGGUGAUAUUUGUCUCCCUUUUAUGUAUCUAUUACAUUUUAUUUCAUUUAUAGAUUAAUAUGUGAUAACAUAUCCUAUACAUCUCAAGCACAAACUGUAAAAACAACAAAACUAUCUGAAGUGUGUGUAUGUGUGCACGUGCUCACGAGUGUGGAGAUCCACAUACUAACAGUGACUAACUCUGGGAGAUAGAAUUAUAGGCAUUCUCAAUUUUCUUCUUAUAUAUAUACGUAUAUUUAUAUGUGCAAAUACCCAGAUUAAUGGUUUAUUACAGCUAAGCUCUAAACAAGGUUGUGUUGCUAGAAUCUAUAGCAAAAAAAGAGAGGAAAGUUUUAAAUUCUAUAGUUCCCUUUGUCUAGUAAAAGAAAUCAAUAUUUUGUUUAAUGUAGACAGACACAUUUCUUCAUGCCAGAUAUCCAGAAGUAAUUCAGGCAUAUACAGUGUAUUCGUUAGACUCAUGUUGUCAACCAUAAAUUUACGCAGAAAUGUUAUUCAGAUGGGUAAUUUAUGUUUUUGGAUUUUUGUCAAGUCUUCUGCUUGAAAUUUGACAUCCUAUUUUAGUUUUGUCUUAAGUUAAUGGAAGUUUUGCUGUAGAAAAAAAAGAUAAUAUGUUUAUGCAUUACUUCUUCAUGAUCUAAUUUGAUACACUUGGUUUAAAAUUUUAAAAGGAAGGUAUAGUUAUAUCAUGAAAUGAUCUCACUCAAAAAACUCUCUAUUGUCAAGUGAUAAAUGAUGUCUCUAUUGUGAUUAUUUGAAAUUUUGAGAUGAACAACUAAAUCAGUAUAUUAUUUUGUGUUGAUUAGAGAGGGAUCCAUAAUCUUUAGAGACUGACAUUCUUCAGUGCACGUUUUGCAGUGUGUUAUAUGUUUCCUCAACUAUUCAGAUAUUUUCUCAUACUUCUUCAUAGACAUAAAAAAGGGUUAAUUCCUACAUAUGCAGAAAAAUGCAAACAUUUUAUGUAUUAUGUACAUUUGAUGCAAUUCAGAAUCUCUUUUAACCUUGGAAAGGAGCUCGUCUGAGAUGGUCAGAAUUCUUCAUCUUUUUAGAAAGUCAUAGUUAUCUAAUCUAUUUCAAAUACAAGUUUGGCAGUUGUAUGGGGGUACACAGGAUAAGAAGGAAGUGUUGGUGAUUUUAGUCUCUGUGUCUGUCGAAUUUCUUGAGGUCUUUUUCUGAUCUAAUUUAAUUCAAAAUCAUUGCUAUUUAUGCCAAAAUUGUAAAAGUUCCCAUAGAUUCAGAGGACCGGUGGGUAACUAAUGAAGAACUAAUUAAGUAAUGAUUGUUUUCCUCAUAGUUUACUGUUCAUUUAAAAUUGGAGAAAAAAGAAAAAA
rnacentral:lncRNA from 1 species